UAAGAAUGACAAAGGAAGCAAUUCCGAAGUCAAUUCAAAUGAGUUAGAUGAAAAUAGCAAACGAGAAGCAAGUGAGGGCAAGUCUGGUGCCAGCAGCCGCGGUAAUACCAGCUCCACUAGCAUAUGUUAAAGUUGCUGCAGUUAAAACGCUCGUAGUUGGGAUAAAAGAAGGAGAAAGCAACGAGAAAAUAAGAAAUUGUUUUUCAUUGUUUUUUCUUUCGUUUUUAAUUUAUUUGGUGAAUUCGAGGUAACUUGAGUUUGCCUUGUCACCGUAUCACCUUGAACAAAGCAUGUCGCUCAAAAUGGGGUCUUCAGACAAGGAGUGUUGAGCAUGGAAUGAGAGAAUAUGAGAAGGAAAAAAAAAGAAGAGAGUGAUCUUGGAGGUUUUUCUUUCUAAUGGCAAAUGGGAA
rnacentral:rRNA from 1 species